GGCGGCGUGCUUAACACAUGCAAGUCGAACGAACCUUCGGGUUAGUGGCGGACGGGUGAGUAACGCGUGGGAAUCUGCCCUCAGGAGGGGGAUAACGGCUGGAAACGGCCGCUAAUACCCCAUAUGCCGAGAGGUGAAAUGAAUUUCGCCUGAGGAUGAGCCCGCGUCUGAUUAGCUAGUUGGUGAGGUAAGAGCUCACCAAGGCAUCGAUCAGUAGCUGGUCUGAGAGGAUGAUCAGCCACACUGGGACUGAGACACGGCCCAGACUCCUACGGGAGGCAGCAGUGGGGAAUUUUCCGCAAUGGGCGAAAGCCUGACGGAGCAACGCCGCGUGAGGGAUGAAGGCCUCUGGGCUGUAAACCUCUUUUCUCAAGGAAGAAGAUCUGACGGUACUUGAGGAAUAAGCCACGGCUAAUUCCGUGCCAGCAGCCGCGGUAAUACGGGAGUGGCAAGCGUUAUCCGGAAUUAUUGGGCGUAAAGCGUCCGCAGGCGGCCUUUCAAGUCUGCUGUUAAAACGUGGAGCUUAACUCCAUCAUGGCAGUGGAAACUGUUGGGCUUGAGUGUGGUAGCAGCAGAGAGAAUUCUCGGUGUAGCUGUGAAAUGCGUAGAUAUCGAGAAGAACACCAGUGGCGAAGGCGCUCUGCUGGGCCAUAACUGACGCUCAUGGACGAAAGCCAGGGGAGCGAAAGGGAUUAGAUACCCCUGUAGUCCUGGCCGUAAACGAUGAACACUAGGUGUCGGGGGAAUCGACCCCCUCGGUGCCGUAGCCAACGCGUUAAGUGUUCCGCCUGGGGAGUACGCACGCAAGUGUGAAACUCAAAGGAAUUGACGGGGGCCCGCACAAGCGGUGGAGUAUGUGGUUUAAUUCGAUGCAACGCGAAGAACCUUACCAGGGUUUGACAUCCUGCGAAUCUCUUGGAAACGAGAGAGUGCCCUCGGGAACGCAGUGACAGGUGGUGCAUGGCUGUCGUCAACUCGUGUCGUGAGAUGUUGGGUUAAGUCCCGCAACGAGCGCAACCCACGUCUUUAGUUGCCAGCAUUUAGUUGGGCACUCUAGAGAGACCGCCGGUGAUAAACCGGAGGAAGGUGUGGAUGACGUCAAGUCAUCAUGCCCCUUACAUCCUGGGCUACACACGUACUACAAUGCUACGGACAAAGAGCAGCAAGUUCGCGAGGACAAGCAAAUCUCAUAAACCGUGGCUCAGUUCAGAUCGUAGGCUGCAACUCGCCUACGUGAAGGAGGAAUCGCUAGUAAUCGCAGGUCAGCAUACUGCGGUGAAUACGUUCCCUGGCCUUGUACACAGCCGCCCGUCACACCAUGGAAGUUGGCCGCGCCCGA
rnacentral:rRNA from 1 species